AAAAUGACAAACCAUAGGUUUUUUUUUAUCAACAUUUGAUUGUCCGUUUUAUAUGAAAAUUUUUUAUAAUUUGUAUUUUCGUUGUUGUUAGAUGAUAAAACAUGAUAAAUACUUUAUGCGUGACUUAUCUUUUUAAUUUUUUCAUAAUUUUUUUAAAUAAGACGGACGGUCAAAUGUUAGACACGGAAACCAGGGUUGUCUUUUUU
rfam:Oryza nivara chromosome 4, whole genome shotgun sequence.